rnacentral:pre_miRNA from 1 species
AGAGGAAUAGCUGGGUCAAAUGGUGGUCACAUUCCCUGCUUUCCAAGGAAUCUCCAUACUGCUUUCCAAAUUGGCUGCACCAAUUUGCAGUCCCACUAGCAGU